GACGAACGCUGGCGGCACGCUUAACACAUGCAAGUCGAACGAGAGAAGAGAAGCUUGCUUUUCUGAUCUAGUGGCGGACGGGUGAGUAACACGUGAGCAAUCUGCCUUUCAGAGGGGGAUACCGAUUGGAAACGAUCGUUAAUACCGCAUAACAUAAUUGAACCGCAUGAUUUGAUUAUCAAAGAUUUAUCGCUGAAAGAUGAGCUCGCGUCUGAUUAGGUAGUUGGUAAGGUAACGGCUUACCAAGGCGACGAUCAGUAGCCGGACUGAGAGGUUGAUCGGCCACAUUGGGACUGAGACACGGCCCAGACUCCUACGGGAGGCAGCAGUGGGGAAUAUUGCACAAUGGAGGAAACUCUGAUGCAGCGAUGCCGCGUGAGGGAAGAAGGUUUUAGGAUUGUAAACCUCUGUCUUCAGGGACGAAAAAAGACGGUACCUGAGGAGGAAGCUCCGGCUAACUACGUG
rnacentral:rRNA from 1 species